rnacentral:rRNA from 1 species
UAUGUCAUACUUCCAAGAAAAGCUUGCACUGUCAGAAACAGAUAAUGCCUGUACCAUAACCGACACAGGUGGGUAGGUAGAGUAUACUAAGGGGCGCGAGAUAACUCUCUCUAAGGAACUCGGCAAAAUGACUCCGUAACUUCGGGAGAAGGAGUGCCUUAUUUUUAAGGUUGCAAUAACAAGAUCCAAGCAACUGUUUACCAAGAACACAGGUCUCCGCUAAGUCGUAAGACGAUGUAUGGGGGCUGACGCCUGCCCAGUGCCAGAAGGUUAAAGAAGUCGGUUAGCAUUCGCGAAGCUGGUAACUGAAGCCCUGGUGAACGGCGGCCGUAACAAUAACGGUCCUAAGGUAGCGAAAUUCCUUGUCGGGUAAGUUCCGACCCGCACGAAAGGCGUAAUGAUUUGGAUACUGUCUCGGAGAGGGGCUCGGUGAAAUAGACUUGUCUGUGAAGAUGCGGACUACCUGCACCUGGACAGAAAGACCCUAUGAAGCUUUACUGUAACUUGAAAUUGAAAUUGGACUUUAUUUGCGCAGUAUAGGGGGAGGCGUUGAAAAUAUUCUUGCGGGAAUAUUGGAGCCAUCAGUGAGAUACCACUCUUGUAAUGUUAGAUUUCUAACUUUAUAUCAUUAUCUGGUUAAAGAACAGUUUCAGGCGGGCAGUUUGACUGGGGCGGUCGCCUCCCAAAUGGUAACGGAGGCGCACAAAGGUUUCCUCUGAACGGGUAGAAAUCGUAUCUAGAGUGUAAAGGCAUAAGGAAGCUUGACUGUGAGACCUACAAGUCGAGCAGGGACGAAAGUCGGUCUUAGUGAUCUGACGGUGCUGAGUGGAAAGGCCGUCACUCAACGGAUAAAAGUUACUCUAAGGAUAACAGGCUGAUCUCCCCCAAGAGUUCACAUCGACGGGGAGGUUUGGCACCUCGAUGUCGGCUCAUCGCAUCCUGGGGCGGUAGUACGUCCCAAGGGUUGGGCUGUUCGCCCAUGAAAGCGGUACGCGAGCUGGGUUCAGAACGUCGUGAGACAGUUCGGUCCAUAUCCGGUGUAGGCGUUAGAAUAUUGAGAGGAGCCUUCUUUAGUACGAGAGGACCGAGAAGGACAUACCUCUGGUGUACCAGUUAUCGUGCCAACGGUAAACGCUGGGUAGCUAUGUAUGGAGUGGAUAACCGCUGAAAGCAUCUAAGUGGGAAGCCCACCUCAAGAUAAGUAUUCUCAC